rnacentral:lncRNA from 1 species
AUUCAAGCUUUUCAAAGAACAUCACAAGCUUUGGAUAAGUUACAAGGAAGAAUCUUAGAUGUUGGAACAGAAAAUACCUAAAAAUUACACAUCUGAUCACAGCAAAAUGACUCAAGGAAAUUCAGUUCAACGCACAAUCACUGCAGGAAUCAUCUCAGAAGCAGGUACAUUUUCAACCAGCGUAUUAGCUUCAGAUCUGAAUUACAUGAGCCACAGUGUACAGAAGUCUUAUUAAAGAGAGAGAAACCAUGUCUUUCCUGUGAAAUGGAAGAGAUCACAGGCCAUUCUUUGGCUAUGAGAGUAAGUGACGAAACAAAAUGUGGUGGAAGCAUCUAUAAAUUCC